CCGGGCGGUUUAUUUUGUUGGGUUUCUAGGACCGCCGUAAUGAUUAUAGGGAUAGUCGGGGGCGUCAGUAUUCAGCUGUCAGAGGUGAAAUUCUUGGAUUUGCUGAAGACUAACUACUGCGAAAGCAUUCGCCAAGGAUGUUUUCAUUAAUCAGGGAACGAAAGUUAGGGGAUCGAAGACGAUCAGAUACCGUCGUAGUCUUAACCAUAAACUAUGCCGACUAGGGAUCGGGCGGGGUUUCUAUGAUGACCCGCUCGGCACCUUACGAGAAAUCAAAGUUUUUGGGUUCUGGGGGGAGUAUGGUCGCAAGGCUGAAACUUAAAGAAAUUGACGGAAGGGCACCACAAGGCGUAAACAACCGCUGAGCCGCAGCGACUCUGCGCCCGAGAGCAGCCCGAAAGGGUGAUGUGGUGGCCCCGAAUGAAAUGCUAGUCCGGGGGGCAAUGGCCCCCGGGCGACACGCUCAAAUUGCGGGAAACUCCUCAACCGCCGCGAACUACCAAGCCGCGGGCGAAAGCCUGCGGUGGCCAGGGUAACACCCUCGGGUACGGUCACAAGGUUCGCGGACAGGGGGACGAUCCGCAGCCAAGCCCCUACGUCCGCCGCGGAUACGGGGAAGGUUCAGAGACUAGAUGGGCGUGGGUUGGCCGCCGGGCCAGCUUAAGAUAUAGUCCGGUACGGGGGGACAACCCCCGUAGCACAGGUCCUCAACCGGGAGCCUGCGGCUUAAUUUGACUCAACACGGGGAAACUCACCAGGUCCAGACAAAAUAAGGAUUGACAGAUUGAGAGCUCUUUCUUGAUCUUUUGGAUGGUGGUGCAUGGCCGUUCUUAGUUGGUGGAGUGAUUUGUCUGCUUAAUUGCGAUAACGAACGAGACCUCGGCCCUUAAAUAGCCCGGUCCGCGUUUGCGGGCCGCUGGCUUCUUAGGGGGACUAUCGGCUCAAGCCGAUGGAAGUACGUGGCAAUAACAGGUCUGUGAUGCCCUUAGAUGUUCUGGGCCGCACGCGCGCUACACUGACAGGGCCAGCGAGUACAUCACCUUGGCCGAGAGGUCUGGGUAAUCCUUUAACGCCCCCU
rnacentral:ncRNA from 1 species